rnacentral:lncRNA from 1 species
CAUGAUUUUCUGGUCAGACUGCAUCAGCUCCCUCUUCUCCACCAGGACAGUAGGGAUCUACAGCCCAAGAACCAAAGACUUUGGACAUUUUGUUCUACUUGGGAAGUUUGUAAUGUUAUCUUCUGCUGUGGAGCAUAGUGCAAAGAAAUAGGGGGAAGAAAGGUGGGUUUCUUCUGUCUCCACCCCAAAGACCAAGGAUACUUUCUUCCCUGAGGGUUGCCUCUGCAUUGCAAGUUUUUUCUGACCCUUCACUACACAGAUGGACAACUCAGGUGGCCAGAGGACUUCAACUGAAUGGAAUUACACAAUGAUUUGUUGAACAUGUAUUGUGCACCAGGGAGUAUGUGAGGCUAUGUGGUAGGCAUGAGAUGAACAAUGGAAGAUUCUUGCCCCAUGGAAGGUGACCACUGGAAUUAGAAAUCCUAGCAUCACCUAAGGAAAGGCUCAGAUCUUCCCUGGUGGAGGUUGGGGAUCUUCCCGAAGGGACCUUUUGGACCCAGAGCUCUUGUAUCAUUGCCUCUUGGCAAGAGGUUUAGAGACUCCCUUCAUCAUGAAGUUUCACAGACUCCUUCAGCCUUUAUCUUUCCUGAGUUCUAUGGGGAAAAGCUAGGUUAGAUAUGUGGAGUGACUCACCGAGACCUGAGAAGGCAUCUGCAUGAGGCUGCGGGGGUGUCCUUAGAGAAAAGGGAAGCUGCAGUGUGGAGGCUGGGGGAUGCACAAGAUGAUCUCCAGAGUCUCUCAGCCUUCAGAAGCGCAGGCUCUCUGAGGCCACAUUCCUUCCUGGUCUGGCUCAGUGGAGGCUGUGUUUCCCCACUGUUGCUUUUUGCAUGGAUUUGUUCAGCAGUUGAAUGGGCAGAGAAGGAGGAGUCUCUCCCUUCCUGUUCUCACACAGCUCUGCUUCAUGGACACCCACACAGAUUCACUGGAGAGCAAAGCCUACCAGAGUCCCUGUCAGCAGCACUGUUUCUAGAAGCUUCCACAUGAGCAGACAGCAUGGAGUCCUGGGGGCUAAUGAAGCAGCAAUGUCAGCAUGAGCACAGGCAGGGAGAGGCAAGAGGAGCAGAGUAAAGGGGAACGUUCUCUUCAUUCUUCCACCUGCCUGUCCCCCAGCCGACACGUCCCUUCCGUUCCCUGCAAGGCCAUUUCCAGGGAGGCUUACGAAGACAGCAGAUGAUGGUGAUGGAAGGAGUCUGGGUGCUGAGCUGUGCCAUGGACCUGGAGAGAAACUGAGUCCGAGGGAUGUCAACAUGCCAAGUCCAUGGAAAUAUCAGUGGGCUGGAAUUCUAGCUGCCUGAAAGAAGACAUUCCUCACACAAGACCUCACAAUCAUAUCCAUGGAAUUAUAGCACUGGGCUCUCCAGAUGGUGCUACAGGAAGACCUCCAGAAAUUUGACAAUCCUCUAUUCAAGGCCCUACCACAGAGACACACAGGAACGGAACUCAGAAUCACAAACAAAGAAACUUUGAUCCAAGAAAGAAAAUGAUCUUUAAAAAGACCCUCGUUUCAUGCUGGCCGAUGCUGAGAAAAUCUGCUCUGAAGGAUAUUUGGAGACACUGAUUAAAAGGUAGUACCAUCACCACAUAUUUAACUUCCCCCUCUUUUUCCUCUGCUUCUAGGAGUAGAGAAACCAACAAAACCAACCGGAGAGAGAUGGUUUCAAACAAUCUGUCCCCCACCCCACCACUAUUCACACCUUUCACAAGGGCCCAGCCACAAAGCCAGUGCAACAUGACAUCAAUCAUCAGCAAAGUGGAGAUGGUUGUCCCAGUGGAGGGGGAUUCUUCGUGUUACGUAGAUAGGAAGCACGAUGCAAAAGUGUUGAAGCAGGAGUGUAAAGAAUAAUUAAAACACCUGCCCAAGACCCAAGCAAGGAUAGGAUUUCCCAGACAUUCGUGAGGGAGAAAAUGCCAUGUCCUUUCCUUCUGGUGUCACAUCAGAAUCUGAAGGCUGCUAGAGAAGGGAGAGAAACAUGAAAGUGAGUCCCAUGCUGAUUGUUGUUGAAAUACCUGGAAAGAAACUGGCAAAGACUAUCCAAGGGAUGCUAAGACAUGUCCGAACUUACAAAACAGUAGAACCUGAAUAGGAAUUUGAAGUUGUCUAUACUCUCCUCAGCCACACCCUGCCAUUUUACAGAUUGUCUUCUCUGGGGAAGUUAGCUGUCAUGUUGUGAGGAUACUCAAGCAGUUUAUAAAGAGGUUCAUGUCGCAAGGAAUGGAGGCCUCCUGCCAACAGCCAUGUAAAGGAGCCAUCUAGGAAAUAGAUUCUCCAGCCCCAGUCAGACCUUCAGAUGAUUACAGCCCCUACCAACCUUCUGACUGCGGUGGAAGGAAGGUUCCGGAACCAGAACCACCCAGGUUAAUGUGGGUAAGUCUCAUCCAAUCCUUUGAAGGCCUGAAGAACAAAGAGUGAGGUUUCUGGAAGAAGAAAAUUUUACCUCAAGCCUGCAAUGUAGAAAUUCUGCUUGAGUUUCCCGCCUGCUGGCCUGCCCUGUGGAAUUCGGAGUCAAGAAGGAGUCUUGUAAGCAUUAACUGAGAUAGUAUAUGAAGAGUGCUUUUGCACCGAGUGAACCUUCAAUCAACUGUACUAGUUUGUAUGCCUGGAAGAGCUGCUAUAUGGGAUCAGAAAGAAAAAUAAGGUGCAUACGCCAGAAAAAAAAUACUUGCAUAUGAGUACUAGGAGAUGCAUGACAAUGUUCACGGCAGCAGUAUUCAUGGCAGUGAAAAAUGAAAAGAACUGAAAUGCCCAUUGAUAAAAACGUCUACUUAUUUGUGUCAUCUUUGCACAGUGGAAUUGUGCGAGUGGAAAUGAUUGAUCUACAGCUAGGAGAAGCAGCAGAGCUCAAUCUCAAAAACAUAACGUUGUGUGGAAAAAGCUAACCUCAGAACACUUUGCGGCUCUAUCUUAGCAAACCAGGAGAGAAAUUCUCCUGAUGGCCUUGAAGAAGCAAACAGCCACCUGGUUAAGCCCCUGUGGAUAGUGCCAAGUGGCAGGAAAGUGGGAGCCACCUCUAGGACCUGAGGAUUAAAGUCAGUAAGAGCUGGGACCUCACUCAUGCAGACUCGAGGACAUGAAUUCGACCAACAACUUGAAUGAGCUUGGAAGUGGAUUCUUCCCUAGUCCAGUCUUCAGAAAUUAAGAAUGUUCCCAAAGAAUGAUGGAGACAUUUCAAAAGGAUACGGAAGCCAGAUUGUGGGCGCUUCUACUGGCCAACUCUGGGACAUCGUGGACAUCAAAAUAAAUUUGUAAUAAUAAAGGAUUAUAGCCUAUUAGUUAAAUCAGAAAAAUCUGAUUUAACUAAAUGAGUAGGAGGAAAAGAAAGCUCUUCCUUAUAUUAGAAAGUCAAUUAAUAAAUGCAGAAAGGAAUGAAAAAAUUAGAAAAGCCACCAUUUGGCAACCAUGGCAGGCAGAAUGGGGAGUAUGCCUCCAGACAGUAAUUCCUUUCAAACUGGUUUAUAGGAACUCACUGAGCUUGCUGAUCGACCUCUGAGAGGCAAAGUUUCUGAAUUAUGAAGUACUGAUUAUAUAAACUUAGACAGAGACAUGCUUCAUUAUUUAAUAGGACUGUGUCAAAAGCCUACUAUUAGGAUGAUGUGUUGGGUGUGGAACAGGGUCUCUUCCUGCCAGGAACACUGGUGAUUUCACUCCGUGUUCAGGCUGAUCUUUGAAGUUGAAGACAAGCAGAAGAAUCCUUCUAAAAUUUAGCCAUGCCCAUAGGCUGGGAGGGACACUGCUCCAUUCAGAGGCAGCAAAGCACAUUACUGUAUCUCCUAUAGAGCUUUGAGCAGUCCAGUGUACAUGGAGAAACUUAGUAAAUGUUGUUGAAUUAGUGAAUGAACAAAUCAAUGGACCAAGUCAGGGGUAAGUCUUACAUUUGUCAUCUAGGUGAUUAAGAAAGGAAAAAGUAUCUGUUUCAAGAGGAUUACAAUCUAACUGUACUCCAAUAGUAAAAUUUACUCUUUUGGAAUCUG